rnacentral:rRNA from 1 species
UAGGGAAUCUUCCGCAAUGGACGCAAGUCUGACGGAGCAACGCCGCGUGAGUGAAGAAGGAUUUCGGUUCGUAAAACUCUGUUGUUAGAGAAGAACAGCGCAUAGAGUAACUGUUAUGCGUGUGACGGUAUCUAACCAGAAAGCCACGGCUAACUACGUGCCAGCAGCCGCGGUAAUACGUAGGUGGCAAGCGUUGUCCGGAUUUAUUGGGCGUAAAGCGAGCGCAGGCGGUCAAUUAAGUCUGAUGUGAAAGCCCCCGGCUCAACCGGGGAGGGUCAUUGGAAACUGGUUGACUUGAGUGCAGAAGAGGAGAGUGGAAUUCCAUGUGUAGCGGUGAAACGCGUAGAUAUAUGGAGGAACACCAGUGGCGAAGGCGACUCUCUGGUCUGUAACUGACGCUGAGGCUCGAAAGCGUGGGUAGCAAACAGG